rnacentral:rRNA from 1 species
GAUGAACGCUGGCGGCGUGCUUAACACAUGCAAGUCGAGCGAGUGAGUUCUUCGGAACGAUCUAGCGGCGGACGGGUGAGUAACACGUGGGCAACCUACCUCAUAGAGGGGAAUAGCCUCCCGAAGGGGAGAUUAAUACCGCAUAAAAUUAUCGAGUGGCAUCACAUGAUAAUCAAAGGAGCAAUCCGCUAUGAGAUGGGCCCGCGGCGCAUUAGCUAGUUGGUGAGGUAACGGCUCACCAAGGCGACGAUGCGUAGCCGACCUGAGAGGGUGAUCGGCCACAUUGGGACUGAGACACGGCCCAGACUCCUACGGGAGGCAGCAGUGGGGAAUAUUGCACAAUGGGGGAACCCUGAUGCAGCAACGCCGCGUGAGUGAUGAAGGUCUUCGGAUUGUAAAGCUCUGUCUUUGGGGACGAUAAUGACGGUACCCAAGGAGGAAGCCACGGCUAACUACGUGCCAACCGCCGCCGUAA